rnacentral:rRNA from 1 species
AGAGUUUGAUCCUGGCUCAGAAUGAACGCUGGCGGCGUGCCUAACACAUGCAAGUCGGAUGUGCCGCAAGGUGCAUGGCAGACGGGUGAGUAACGCGUAGGGAAUCUACCUCUUUGUGGGGAAUAACGCUCCGAAAGGAGUGGUAAUACCGCAUGAGACCAUGGUCUGGGAUGACCAUGGUGAAACCUGGGGACCGCAAGGCCUGGGGCAAGGAGAGGAUCCUGCGUCUGAUUAGCUAGUUGGCGGGGUAAUGGCCCACCAAGGCGACGAUCAGUAGCCGGCCUGAGAGGGUGAUCGGCCACACUGGAACUGAGACACGGUCCAGACUCCUACGGGAGGCAGCAGUGAGGAAUAUUGGGCAAUGGACGCAAGUCUGACCCAGCAACGCCGCGUGAAGGAUGAAUGUCGUAAGAUUGUAAACUUCUGUGAGAAGGGACGAAAAAACAGGCUCAUACCCUGUUCUGACGGUACCUUCAGAGGAAGCCCCGGCUAACUACGUGCCAGCAGCCGCGGUAAUACGUAGGGGGCUAGCGUUGUCCGGAUUUACUGGGUGUAAAGGGCGCGUAGGUGGACUUGUCAGUCAGAGGUGAAACCCUGCAGCUUAACUGCAGAACUGCCUUUGAUACUGCAAGCCUUGAGUCUAGAAGAGAAAAGCGGAAUUCCAGGUGUAGUGGUGAAAUACGUAGAUAUCUGGAAGAACACCAGUCGCGAAGGCGGCUUUUUGGUCUAGAACUGACACUGAGGCGCGAAAGCGUGGGUAGCAAACAGGAUUAGAUACCCUGGUAGUCC